rnacentral:rRNA from 1 species
GAUGAACGCUGGCGGCGUGCCUAAUACAUGCAAGUCGAGCGAACGGACGAGAAGCUUGCUUUUCUGAUGUUAGCGGCGGACGGGUGAGUAACACGUGGAUAACCUACUUAUAAGACUGGGAUAACUUCGGGAAACCGGAGCUAAUACCGGAUAAUAUUUUGAACCGCAUGGUUCAAAAGUGAAAGACGGUCUUGCUGUCACUUAUAGAUGGAUCCGCGCUGCAUUAGCUAGUUGGUAAGGUAACGGCUUACCAAGGCGACGAUGCAUAGCCGACCUGAGAGGGUGAUCGGCCACACUGGAACUGAGACACGGUCCAGACUCCUACGGGAGGCAGCAGUAGGGAAUCUUCCGCAAUGGGCGAAAGCCUGACGGAGCAACGCCGCGUGAGUGAUGAAGGUCUUCGGAUCGUAAAACUCUGUUAUUAGGGAAGAACAGAUGUGUAAGUAACUGUGGACAUCUUGACGGUACCUAAUCAGAAAGCCCCGGCUAACUACGUG